rnacentral:rRNA from 1 species
GACGAACGCUGGCGGCGUGCUUAACACAUGCAAGUCGAACGGAAAGGCCCAGCUUGCUGGGUGCUCGAGUGGCGAACGGGUGAGUAACACGUGGGUGAUCUGCCCCUAACUUCGGGAUAAGCUUGGGAAACGGGGUCUAAUACCGGAUAGGACAAUCGUUUAGGGUCGGUGGUGGAAAGUUUUUUCGGUUAGGGAUGAGCCCGCGGCCUAUCAGCUGGUUGGUGGGGUAAUGGCCUACCAAGGCGUCGACGGGUAGCCGGCCUGAGAGGGUGGACGGCCACAUUGGGACUGAGAUACGGCCCAGACUCCUACGGGAGGCAGCAGUGGGGAAUAUUGCACAAUGGGCGCAAGCCUGAUGCAGCGACGCCGUGUGGGGGAUGACGGCCUUCGGGUUGUAAACCUCUUUCGACAGGGACGAAGCUUUGGUGACGGUACCUGUAUAAGAAGCACCGGCUAACUACGUG